UGAUGGCCCUAGCGGGUGUUGACACAAUGUGAUUUCUGCCCAGUGCUCUGAAUGUCAAAGUGAAGAAAUUCAAGUAAGCGCGGGUCAACGGCGGGAGUAACUAUGUCUCUCUUAACCCAAACAGUGGUUACCAAUGCACGAUAUGUGAAUCGUCUUUCCGUAGCAAAAGCGGACUAGGUGUUCACAUGUCACGUCGGCACAAGGACGAGUUUGAUCAACUUCGUCUGCGUACCGACCGUAAGGCACAAUGGAGUGAGGAAGAGUUGAGUAUGAUGGCAAGAAAAGAGAUCGAGCUCGCAGCAAAUGGAGAAAGAUAUCUAAAUAAGAAGCUAGCGGAAGUAUUUACGAACCGUAGCGUCGACGCUAUCAAGAAAUGCCGACAGAGGGAGAGAUAUAAGACCAAAAUCGAACAGCUAAAGGGUCAAGCUGUUCCUCUCCCAGAAGCAUUAGAAUCUGAAACCAUACAGCGCCGCCCUAGUAUACGCGAGCGAGAUCUCCUAGUAACGCCACCUAACACUCUCGGAACCACUCCAACCGAACUGUCGAACAGGGAAAUCCUGGCAGUACUACAGGGGUACCCACCUGUAGUA
rnacentral:ncRNA from 1 species